GGACAGCCCCAGCUGGGCACCUGUGCCAGCCCUCCCCACCCUCCCAGGGCAGAAUUCCUGCCCAAUAUCCCACCUAAUUUACUUUCAUUAGUUUAAAUACAAGAACCAAGAAUUCCUUUUGGCCCCAGGGGGGGACUGAGCAGCCCAGUCCCUCUGGGCUCUGGGGCCCUGUCCCUCUCUCCUGUGUGUUGGUGGUUCAAUGUCCUGCAACAGCAACAGUGCCAAGCUACUGUGUGUAAAUAUUUGAGACAUAUAAAUGGUAGAAUUCACUGUUUCCUCAAGUCAAUACAGUUUACACUGAGUGGACCAUAUUUGCAAACUAUUAGCUUACACCAAGAAAGGGAGUGAACUGUGAUUUCAUCUGUAUUUGUUGAAUCAUCACUUUAGUAGCAUAUUUAGUAGAGUUGAUAGUGAUCUAUAGCUGUGUUUUGGGGUGUGGAUUAUGUUCUUUGCAGCUCAUGUUUUUGCACAAGGUAGUAAAUCCAGGAAGUCAUUUCUGCCUGGAUAUACACUACAUUUUUCAGAGCAGUCAGAGACUAAAACUGCCAUCUAGCAAACAGCAGGAAAGAGGAACACUUCUGUUUUUCAAGUUUAGCACUUUAUGUUUGCAACCCAUUUCUCUUAAGUUAUUUAAAAAUGUUUUUAAAAGCAAAAUUUAAUACAUGUGUUCCUAUUUACUGUACAUUAAAAUAAAUUGAUUCUCUGCUGGACAUCUCAUCUUUUCCUCUAGUAUGCUCAUAAUUUGUACUUUUGGGGAGUGAAGCAUUGUUUUCUUCUUCCGUGUAGUAUCUUGUUUGUGGCCUUAGUGUUCUUCCUAUUCCUUUAUCGGUGUGAGAUAUGUGCUGUAGCAGUUCAUGUGUGACUUGUGUGCUUUGGGGCUGCUCCAGGUGAUGCUCCUGAGUGAAUCCCACCCUGCUCCUGCUGCCCCUGGCUCCAGGUGAUGCUCCUCAGUGAAUCCCACCCUGCUCCUGCUGCCCCUGGCUCCAGGUGAUGCUCUGUGUGAAUCCCACCCUGUUCCUGCUGCCCCUGGCUCCACGUGAUGCCCUGAGUGAAUCCCACCCUGCUCCUGCUGCCCCUGGCUCCAGGUGAUGCUCUGUGUGAAUCCCACCCUGCUCCUGCUGCCCCUGGCUCCAGGUGAUGCUCUGUGUGAAUCCCACCCUGCUCCUGCUGCCCCUGGCUCCAGGUGAUGCUCUGUGUGAAUCCCACCCUGUUCCUGCUGCCUGUGCUGAGCUGCUGCAGGGUGAGGUUUUGUGGCACACACUGUUCUCUUCCUGCCCCCCUGCAGUAAUUGCAGGUGUGUCACAGCCCUCUCUGUCCCCUUCUCUCUGGAUUUCUCUCCCCACAGAGCUUGUCCUGUUGAUGUGUGCACACAUGUCUUUAGCUCAGCCCGUGGUGCAUUCAGCAGCUCCAGGCUGUGCAGGGUGUGAUCAGAGCUGGCUGAGGGGAGGGCAGCACUGUCCCUGGUGUCCCUGGUGUCCCUGGUGUCCCUGGUGUCCCUGGUGUCCCUGGUGUCCCUGGUGUCCCUGGUGUCCCUGGGGGCGAGGGCUGUGCUGGGAGCUGCUCCAGAGGGGUUUUCCUGUGCUCCCCAAUCCCAGCCAAACCCGGCCAGCCUCGAGCUCUGGAGCUGCCGAGGGGAGCUGGGUUAUGGGGGACCCCCAGUCCAGGGGAAUCCCUCAAGCUGCUCUGAGGGGUUCAGGUGUGAGAAAGCUGCUGCUUAAAACCCCCUGGUUUGCACAGGCACAGCCCUGCCCCAGGGAUGUGACCCCUGCAGCUCAGUGGCCCAAGCUGUUCCUGUGGCAUUGGGCUCAUCCCACGGUGUCUGGGGCCAGCGGGAGCUGGAUGGGCUCCUCAUAAUAAAUAAAUAUAUAUUUAUUCCUCCUCAUAAUAAAUACAUUUAUUAUUAGUUAUUUCAUGAGUGUUAAACUCUAUGAUUUGCAUGAAAUCCUGUGGUUCACAGCUUUGCCAAUAUGGUCCAUUACUACUGCCUACAACAACUUGUGUACUUAUAUGCCUUUGAGAACAUUUUUAAUUGUUAAAGUUGUUUUAAAAAUCAGUGUUAAGUUAAUUUAAUUUUUAAUGGGGAAAUGAAUUCUGGUGUCAAAAUGGUAUUUACUGUGAUGCCGAUGUUUUGUACCUGUCAUCCAGCUAAAGAACCUGUAAAUACUCCUGAGUCAAGAGAAAUAUGAAUGCCAAUUAUUUAUUGUUCUGUGGAGUUACAUGUCGCAGAUGUGUAAGAACUUAAAAGGGAAUGUUGUAAAACAAGGUGGAAAAAAUAAAUUUUAUGCAACUUCUUUACUUCCCCCCUGAA